rnacentral:rRNA from 1 species
UACAGAGACUGCAAGCGUUAUUCGGAUUCACUGGGCGUAAAGGGUGCGCAGGUGGUUGUGUGUGUCAGAUGUGAAAUCCCGGAGCUUAACUCCGGAACUGCGUCUGAAACUGCACGACUAGAGCAUUGGAGAGGGUAGUGGAAUUCACGGUGUAGCAGUGAAAUGCGUAGAGAUCGGAAGGAACACCAGUGGCGAAGGCGGCUACCUGGCCCAAUACUGACACUGAGGCACGAAAGCGUGGGGAGCAAACAGG